GACGAACGCUGGCGGCGUGCUUAACACAUGCAAGUCGAACGGAAAGGCCCUGCUUUUGUGGGGUGCUCGAGUGGCGAACGGGUGAGUAACACGAGAGUAACCUGCCCUUGACUUUGGGAUAACUUCAGGAAACUGGGGCUAAUACCGGAUAGGAGCUCCUGCUGCAUGGUGGGGGUUGGAAAGUUUCGGCGGUUGGGGAUGGACUCGCGGCUUAUCAGCUUGUUGGUGGGGUAGUGGCUUACCAAGGCUUUGACGGGUAGCCGGCCUGAGAGGGUGACCGGCCACAUUGGGACUGAGGUACGGCCCAGACUCCUACGGGAGGCAGCAGUGGGGAAUAUUGCACAAUGGGCGGAAGCCUGAUGCAGCAACGCCGCGUGCGGGAUGACGGCCUUCGGGUUGUAAACCGCUUUCGCCUGUGACGAAGCGUGAGUGACGGUAAUGGGUAAAGAAGCACCGGCUAACUACGUG
rnacentral:rRNA from 1 species